AUUGAACGCUGGCGGCAUGCUUUACACAUGCAAGUCGAACGGUAACAGGCCGCAAGGUGCUGACGAGUGGCGAACGGGUGAGUAAUGCAUCGGAACGUGCCCAGUCGUGGGGGAUAACUACUCGAAAGAGUAGCUAAUACCGCAUACGAUCUAUGGAUGAAAGCGGGGGACCGUAAGGCCUCGCGCGAUUGGAGCGGCCGAUGUCAGAUUAGGUAGUUGGUGGGGUAAAGGCUCACCAAGCCAACGAUCUGUAGCUGGUCUGAGAGGACGACCAGCCACACUGGGAAUGAGACACGGCCCAGACUCCUACGGGAGGCAGCAGUGGGGAAUUUUGGACAAAGGGCGCAAGCCUGAUCCAGCAAUGCCGCGUGCAGGAAGAAGGCCUUCGGGUUGUAAACUGCUUUUGUAAGGAACGAAACGGCUCUGGUUAAUACCCGGGGCUAAUGACGGUACCGUAAGAAUAAGCACCGGCUAACUACGUG
rnacentral:rRNA from 1 species